rnacentral:rRNA from 1 species
UACGUAGGGUGCAAGCGUUAAUCGGAAUUACUGGGCGUAAAGCGUGCGCAGGCGGUUCUAUAAGACAGAUGUGAAAUCCCCGGGCUCAACCUGGGAACUGCAUUUGAGACUGCACGGCUAGAGUGUGUCAGAGGGGGGUAGAAUUCCACGUGUAGCAGUGAAAUGCGUAGAGAUGUGGAGGAAUACCGAUGGCGAAGGCAGCCCCCUGGGAUAACACUGACGCUCAUGCACGAAAGCGUGGGGAGCAAACAGG